rnacentral:rRNA from 22 species
CGGUGGAUCACUCGGCUCGUGGAUCGAUGAAGGACGCAGCAAACUGCGCGUCGUAUUGUGAACUGCAGGACACAUGAACAUCGACGCUUCGAACGCACAUUGCAGCCCACGGAUUCUGUUCCCGGGCUACGCCUGGCUGAGGGCCGGC